rnacentral:rRNA from 1 species
GCUGGCAGCCAGCUCUCUGCAACUCUCACAUGGUCGCCCACUGAAGCUAAUCAGGGCUGCGCCUGGUCAGUACCUGGAUGGGAGACCACUUGGGAAAGCUAGGUUGCUGCCGGAA